GCAUCGAUGAAGAACGCAGCCAGUUGCGAUAAGUAGUGUGAAUUGCAGAAUUCAGUGAAUCAUCGAAUCUUUGAACGCAAAUUGCGCUUUCUGGAUAUCCAGGGAGCAUGCCUGUCUGAGCGUCGUUUAAUAAUCUACACACCUUGGUGUGGUUAGGGAGCUCAUGCAAUCUCGGUUGCCUGUCUCUUGAUGUAUCUGAACCUGCAGAACACUUGUGUACUGCUUGGAAGGCUCAACUUGCUUCUGUCCUUCUAAAGUAAGUACUGAUAGAAUGUUUUAAUGGUUCUUUGAAUUCUUUGAAUUCACCUCUUGAUUUUUGACCUCAGAUCAGACAAGACUACCCGCUGAAUUUAAGCAUAUCAAUAAGCGGAGGAA
rnacentral:rRNA from 1 species